UCACGUUCUGUUCUCUCUCUUUCUCUUUCUCUUAUGUUGAAAUCAAUUUAAGCCUAUUUUUAGCUUUCUGUUGACAAAUUUUUUUUUUCUGUUCAGUUGAAUAGAGUUUCUUCAUCUGUUUCCGUGGAAGUUGACAACCCAACAUCCUCCUUUAGUGCCCCUUUGCCUCAACUAGCUCAGACCUCUUCAAAGACCAGGGAGAGGCUGGUCCAAAAGUGGGGGGAAGCCCAGGGGAGGGGACUAUGCCCAGCAGCCCUUGUGCAGCCGAAGCACUAGAGAAGUUCCGGGGCAGGACUGGAGUUGAAGGGCCUGGGGUUCAUUGUGCCCGUGCUCCUGCCGGGAACUGCCCGCCUCAGUGUCCCCAGCCUGCUCCUGAGAGGUAGGAUGGGAGGAGCUCCAGAGGGAGGGACUGAAAGUGACUGUGUUGCUGGGAGCCUUAAACUGGCUGUUAGACAGGUUGUACCGCUGCUGGGAGUGGGGAUGGGGGCUCCACCAUGAGACUGUCAGGUGUGCAUGUGUGUGAGAUGAAUUCGUGGGCUGGACUUCACUUGACAUGUUCUAAGUUUGGGGUUCACAUGACUGCUGUCAGUGUGUGUAUCCAGUAAAGCUGAAGUUGACUGUGUAUGGUGUGUUGAUGAGCAUGAAACAGUGAUGCACUGUGCAUUUGAUUGUAGUGGAGGGGCCAGAGAGGAAAUGCAGGGGAAUCUGUGUGUAAGGAGUGUGGUCGAGCUGUGAUUGAGGCUUACUGUGGAGGUGUUUGGACAUGAAUGAAUAUACAGAGUGGAAGGUGAGGGGCUGGAGGGUUAAGGGCCUAUGUAGUAUGUGUUUGGGGGACUACUGGGGAACAGAAGUGUUUGAUGACUGCUGGG